rnacentral:lncRNA from 1 species
AGCAAGUUCUUCGAGACGUUCGCGGGGCCCUUCACCAAGAGGGGGCUCCUGCUCAAGUUCCUGCUGCUCGGCGGCGGAUCGCUGGUGGCCUACGUCAGCGCGUCGGCGUCGCCAGACCUGCUUCCGAUCAAGAAGGGCCCGCAGCUGCCGCCGACGCCCGGCCCACGCGGCAAGAUCUAAAUUAAAUUCCUCGUCUCUGCCUCACCUUCUUCUUGAUCCGAUCCAUCCAUGCAAAUCCUCUGUACUGUACUGCUAGUCCCCCAUGGCCGGAUCGCCAUGGAUUAAUUCCCCCUGUUUAUGAUGUUGAUAUAAUUGUACUAUUCCUAUGGCUAUAUAAGUUGUAAAGGAUCCAAUUCGAUGCUGCAUGCGACGUACUGCGAUCCCAUGUGUUCGGUUUUAAUUUUCUGUCUCCCCUCGAUUUUGCAUCUCGACAUUCAUGUGGUAGUGUGAAAAAACUGAAAAUGGCGUGCAUGAUUACCCGGCCUUAGUAGUUUGAUACUACUACUUACUACUUCAGUACUUCUGUUUUGCGUUUAUGUCACUAGUAAAUAUGUCUCCUCAGUAUUCACCACUAGUAGUUUCAUUAAAUCUACGAAAAACUGAAAAUGGCGUGCAUGAUUACCUCUAGUUCUAUCUAGUCUAGAGCAUAUGAUUAUCCAGAUUGAGUGAUACUACAUUGUCUAUAUCAACUACAACCCCUGCAUAGCCCACCUACAAGAUUUGAGAUCAUACGAGACACUGUUACAGUUACGUGUAUUUUGAGGAUGUGUAUACCUCUUUAGUUUAGGUAUUAUACCUUCCAAUUAACACUAAAAAGGCAUUUUGAGGGUCGGUGUAAAUUCUGAUUGAUUCAUACAAUGUACAGGAGGUCAAGAUCAACUAAUUAUCAUAGCUUUGUGCACCAAGCUUCCAUUGGGAAUGGAGGUGAAGAUGGCUAAAAUUUGCCAAACCUCACACUGGUACAUGCUCAAUUCUGCAUCUCAUGAUGCUAUGAACAUCUAAGCUAUUUACAUACAUGUAUUUUUCUGAAUGAGCUGCUGCAGCGAGCAUCAUCCAUAUGUCUUUCCCCCUACACAUAAACUAGUGUCUAGAUAUUGGGCUUCUUGUUCCACUCAAAUUCUCAAGUUUUUCUAGGUAAGAAUACCUCUUAGUUGCAAUCGGUGAGACCUUUGUCAACUUUCGACUAUGAGCAUCCCCCCUACAUCCCUUUUCUUUUGAGUCCAUCUUCGUCGCCACAACAUCUUGAUCUCGAGGACUGACAAAGUCAAAUAGUGUCGCUGAAACUGGUUCCAUUCUUCCCAGUCUCUCUACCUCGGCCUUAGCAUCAAUGACAACCUUAUCAGUGUCAUAUCUUGAUAAGCUGGCCAUUCUCAUUGAUUCUUGGGUUCUAGUAUUAGAAGCUUGCGCGAGGGAGUCAGCAUGAAGAACAUCUUCGAUUCGAGACAUAACCGUGAAAGCUAAACUUUCAAGAGUCCUGGAGUAGCUCUCCAAAAUGGCCAAGCCAAUAUCCUGAGGGGGAAAAAUAGCAGAGAAUUUUUGCAAUGAGUAAACAUACGUACUGUAGCAAAUCCGAAAAGACAACAUGAAAAGCAGAUGAUUCUCAUGGUAUACCCUGUUGUACUGAAUUUUGCUUAUAUCAAGAGCUGACUGAGCAAUGCCGGGAAAUCUGUGCUUGAUGAGGAGGAGGACAUUCUCUGCUCUUGCUUCAAAUUUCUCCCGCUUCUCAAAUUUGACACCAUGCCCCCAUGACAAUUUACCUUCCUUGUGCACCAUUUUCCUCUGCCAAAUGACCACAGAGGCUUCAAUUCGGUUCUUAAGAUCUAUGAUGUUGUACUCAGCUGACAUGUCCACAGUUCCUAAGAGUUCUUCAGGAUUGAAAUGAUCUUCGGUUAUAAUCUUGUACAUUGAAUCUCCAAGGGUGGACUUGCCAUUCUAUCAGGCAAAAAAAAAAAAAAGUAACACAGUCAGUAACUAGAAAAAAAAAUGUUGCAAAUUGUCAAAAUAGAUUCUUUGUGCAAUGUAGUAUUAUUGAUCACCUUGGGUAAAGACUCUAUAUAUGCUUCAGGAACAUCCAUUUCCAUAAGAACAUUAGCGUUGAUGGCCAUUGCUGCCUUAAGGACUUGAUUGACCAGAUCCUUCUGAUGUUGAACCCACUUUCUUGAUGCAUCUGACAGACCACCAGGAGGGACUCUAACAGUUGGGAGCCACCAUCUGUCAUCCUGCCUCGGCGUGUUUCCCUUCUCUGAUUCACUCGCGUCUUUCGACACGUACCAAAACUCCUGCUUGUCUUUGAAAUUAUCGAGAUAUUCCUGCUCCACAAGGGAAAUGUGCAACAGAAGGACGAUUGUUUGAUUCAGAAUUUCAGAUAUAUAGAUGUUGAUUUCUGGUGGUUCAAAGAUCAGCACAGCAAGCUUACAAGGAGCAUCGCAUCAAGCUUGCGCAAUGCGGGGAUGUUCAUCUGUAAAUCCCGACGCUGCUGGGUUAUCAUGAUCUGCUUGACAAGAAUGAGUCAAACAAUUCGGAAAUAGAAGUAUUGAGAAUUAGAAUGCACCACUAACUCAUUCAAUUCCAUAAUGAAGUUCACUGAUACGUUGUACAGUGUGUCUACCGAAUGGAAAUAAAAGGGGGUCAUUUUUUUUUCUUUUUUUAUUGUGCGGCUCUGCCUCCACCAUCCUGCUAAUUGGAGUAGCGAUUUCCCCUUCCCCCGGUAUAAGCAUGUCUGGCAGAUUGCGUUGUGUAACAAAAACUAUUUUUCCUUCUAAUAUAUUAACGUGCAAUCUUUUUGCACGUUAAGUUUUUUCUUUUUUCUUUUUUUUUACCUCCAUGGUGGAUCCAUCCUCGGAGACUUGUUUUGACGGGACAAAUUCGACGAUGUGAUCGGAGACUGACAAGAGCCAGUCGAUCUCCCUCCUCCACCGCGCCUUCUGAUCGGCGGCCAUCGGCUGGAGGCGGCGCUGCUCGCCGAAGACGGAAGCUGGAAUUUAGCAAGAAACGAAGCAUGCAACAACAUCAUCAUCGAACCAGAGAUUCUUCUUUUCUUCAGAAAAAAACAGAAGUGAAUUACACACUACCUGCAAGAUUGGUGAUGGCGUUGGAGAGAGCGAGAGCAGAGGACACCCCUUUCCCGGUGCCGGACAUGUCCUCCCCGAGUAGAAGCUUCGAGAACUUCUCCCUCACCAUCUCCGCGUCUGCAAUUUCCGGACGAAACCCAUCAUUUCUUGAACGAGAGAUGGCAACAAUUUUGGCCGGCAUUGAUCAUCCCAGAAGAGAUAUAUAUUAGUCACCUGAAGGUGGGCCCUCAUGCAGCGCGGCGGGUGCGGGCCUCGCCGGCGCCGGAGCCGACGACGUCCUCGGCGGCGCCUCCUCCUUAUCCGACGGGCCACCGGCCAGCGGUGGCAGCUCGAACGACAGCCUCCCCCUCGACCCCGAGCUCCUCGACAGCGCCCGCCUCGCCGCGGGCGGCAUCUCCGGGUCCAUGGGGCUCCCCGGGUCGUCGUCGGACAACGCCGCCGCCGACGACGACGACAGCGACAGCGCCAGCGGCGACGACGACGACGACGACGUCGACCUCCGCCACCUGAACCUGUCGAGGCCGUGCCCGAUCUUCAGCAGCGGCCGCGCCAUCACCGACGACGCGUCAGCAUCACACCACGGCCGAGGCGAGGCUAAGCUACACCAUUUCUUCUUCUUCUCUGUUUCUUUUCCUUCCGUUUUUUUUGCCUGCCUGGCUUGGAAAUUCAGGGACGUUCCAAACAUGGAGCACGAGAUAUUUAUAGCUGCGUCAGGCUGUAGCUGGGAUGAAAUUUAUACGUACAAAUGUACGUAUUCCUAUAUUUAAUCCUCGCGUGAUUAAUUCAGCACGUACGUACUCCAGUGUACUCCCGCCCAGUAAUUGCUGUGCGAUGUGAUGAACAGCAGUGUACUGCUUAUGGUGAUUUCUUUCUGAUUGUUUCAGGGAACAGGAGGGAUCCUGUGCGUCUGUGCCCUCUGUCCCAAGGUGAAAAAUGGGAGUUGAGACAGAAAUCUCGAUGUAAAUUGUCGAUGGAACUGUAGAAUAUUUUUACUACUCUAUCCGUUUUAUAUUACUCCUGACAUUCAUAACCUUUUUAUUCGUCAAACUUCUUUGAGUUUAACUGAGUUUGUAGAAAAAUAUAAUAAUAUUUUUAUUACAAAACGAAACAAAAUAUUAAAAUAUAUUUAAUGUUUGAUUUAAUGAAACUAAUUUGACGUUGCUAUUUUUUUCUAUUAAUUUUAUUAAACCUUAAAAAAAUUAACUAAGAAAAAAAUUAAGAUUUAUAAUAUGAAACGGAGGGAGUAGCAUCUUAAACGGAUCGAGCAAUCGAUCAUGGGUGAAUCAUCAGCUUUGCACAGCAAAAAACGAUCAUAGUUGCUUGCAUUUUAUUACAUUUUUUCUCUUAACAGAGGGCUAGUCCUGCCCAGCCACGUCCCAGCACACCACUCACUAAGAUUUUAUGGCUUUUUCGGCCCAGUAAAACCAACAGUAUUGGAGAAAAAAACUGGGCCUGUAAGCUGGGCCGCGGGGUGGAAGCGCUAGUCGCUGCGGGCCGAGCUGUACUUGAGCCCGAACUCCCGGAAGCCGAUCUCCAUGUCGGCGGCGGCGACGAGCAGCUCGGCCGCCUGCGCCGGCUCGAGGAUCUCCACCGCGCGCUUCACGGUGCGCAGCCGGAGCGCGUCGGCGCGGCCGAGCACGCCCCGCACCCGGCCCACUAUCCCGUCGACGUCGAUCCCGCCGCCGACGGCGACCGCGCCGUGGCCCUCCUGCACCAGCGCCAUCUCCCGCGACAGCCCGUCCUCCUCGGCGACGGUCCGGCGCUGGAGGUCGUCGAUCUGCGCCAGCUGCGACGGGCUGAGGUCGCCGAGGUUGCCCGAGCUGACGCCGAGGAGGAGGUCGGGGAGCUGCGCCUCGAAGCGGCGGCCGGACUCGGUGUAGAGCAGGUGGACCAGCGUGGUGGGGCGCCACCCGGCGAGCCAGUACGCCGCGCCGCGCUCCACGGGGCUCGCCCACGGCGCCGACAGCGUCCACACCGGGUCCAUCUCCGCCCGCGCCGCCGUGUAGCACUCCACGUGGGCGACGAACCGGCCCACCAGGGAGCCCAGCUGGGCCGGGUCGUCCGCCCACCGGGCCGCCCGGAGCUCGCGCCGCAGCCCCCGCAGCCCGCGGAGCCAGAGGUGGAACCGCCGCGUCGCCGCCUCCACCUCCAUCGCGGCGAGGCCGGUCGGCGCGCGAGGCCGGUGGGGAUUUUAUAGGCGGCGGGAGAAGGGGAUCCAGGGCCGUGGAUUCGGGACGAACGGACGGUCGCGGGGGCGCGCCGCGGCGGCGUAUGAGGAGGCGAUAGGUGGCGCGCAUGCAGGAGGCCCAUGUGUGAGCCACUGAGCAGAAGAGACCGGCCGCGAGCGGCGACGACGUCACGACGCCGCGGCGAGGGUGGCUGGCUGCUGGGAGCCAAUGACAUGUGGCCCAACCGCCAGUGGGGUGCCCGCCUGGCCUGCCCAAAGGUCAGUGCUUUUUCUUCUUUCCUCUUCUUUUUCCCCUCUCAACGAUCACGCGAGCAAUAUUCUACUGCAAUACUGCCCUCCUGUUCAUACAUGUCACGUCAUCGGCAAUCGUUCGUUGCCCAAAUCUUGCACGAAAUGGAUGGGAUUUGAUUUGAGCUUGCGAAAAUGAUGUAUAACUCAUUUUUUCAGCAUACGACGUCAUUACUUUUUUAUCACACCUUUAAAUAUUCGUCUUACUUAAAAAUUUACAUAAUUAUAAUUUAUUUGUUGAAGUUGUUUUAUCACUUAAAAUACUUUAAAUAUAAUUUAUUUUUAUAAAAUUUUAAACCAAACGAAUAACUAUAUUUAUGUUAGAAAGUCAACGGUAUCAUUUGUUAAGAAACAGAAAGAGUACUAAUGCUACGUUCAAUACUGCUACUAACAAUGCUCGAUUAAUUUGCAGCAGCAAACCCAAAAUUAAACUGACGAGGCGAUGAUCAUUUGGGCCUGGAAAUAUCUGUCGCCUGACGUGAGCGAUGACCAGCCGGGAAACCGAUCAAAAAUCAUUGAUGCACAUGGGAGUUUUGGCCGGUCUGAGACCCUAUUUAGAUUGGACUAAAACUUUCAAGUUACUAUCAUAUCGGAUAUUUGGACACUAACUAUAAAUAUUAAACGUAGACUAUUAAUAAAACCCAUCCAUAAUCUUGGACUAAUUCGAGCGACGAAUCUAUUGAGUCUAAUUAAUCCAUAAUUAGCCUAUAUGAUGCUACAGUAAACAUUCUCUAAUUAUAGAUUAAUUAGGCUUAAAAAAUUUGUCUCACGAAUUAGCUUUCAUUUAUGUAAUUAGUUUUGUAGGUAGUCUAUAUCUAAUACUCUAAAUUAGUGUCUAAAUAUAUGGACUAAAGCUAAGUUCAUGGAUCCAAACACCACCUGAGCAACGCCUUUUUGGCUGGGUUCCAUCUGGCUGGCUGCAGAUGUUCGGGAUGGAGUCCGUAGCUUCAAGAACAUCGCACACAGAUCAUGUGUUCUGCAGAUUAAAAAUGGGGCAUAUGGUUUUUCUGGUGGUGUGACUUGUGAGGAUAGGAACAUUUUGGGGGGGCUAAGUCGGAGUGUGCGACAAUGUGGAUACUGUUGUCUGCUACUGCUCACGAGGUCAGAUUAAUAUUGUGCUUUCUGGUGUCAAUAAUGGAGUUCUCUAUGUCGAAUAUGGCGGCGUGGCCUUACCUGACCAAGGCCACCUUGCUCUCAUGACUCAUGUUAACGUAUAGAGUUUUGCUCUGACUUUGCCCUUUUGCUUUAUACAAGUAUACUCCCUCCGUCCCACAAUAUAAGAGAUUUUAAGUUUUUAUUUGUAACGUUUGACCACUCAUCUUAUUUAAAUUUUUUUUACAAAUAUAAAAAAUGAAAAGUUGUGCUUAAAGUACUGUAGAUAAUAAAGUAAGUCAUAAAUAAAAUAAAUAAUAAUUUAAAAAAAAUUAAAUAAGACGAGUGGUCAAACGUUAUAAGUAAAAACUCAAAAUCCCUUAUAUUAUAGGACGGAGGGAGUACAAAGGUUUUGGACUUCAGAGCUUACUGCUUCUUUGUCAGUUAGCUGCUCCUCAUUUGGCUGCUUGGUUGUACCAACCGCAUGCCAAAGCUUACCUGAUCAUCACUGGUAUUACUACCUCCCUUUUUGAAUAACUGAUACGGUUGACAAUGACUAUUUCGAUAUUAACCACUAAUUAAUCUCAAAUAGUUAGACUGAAUAAUCUAUGAUGAAUUAAAGCAUCAUGCUUAUUUUAGGAUGCAAUACAUUAUGAUAGUGUGGCACAAUAUUCCUUCUCGUAUUUGCAACUCUUUUUUUUUUGUAAAAAAGACGAGUGGCCAAAUUUUCAAAAUGAUUAGUGCCUAUUGCCUAACGUCAGUUAUUUGAAAACGGAUGGAGUAUGACACACAGAAAGUACUCAUCUUUGACAUUUGCAGCAGAGUUGCACAAGGGCAGUAUCAAACAUGGGCAGGGAGUUGCACAAGGUAAAGGUUGCACGAACAGCAGUAUGCACAGCAAGAUCGUCAUCCUGCAGGAUGUUGGUUUUUCAGAAGCACAUUUAUCAUUGUUUCUACCUUGGCUCCACUGGUGAGAGGACCUCCACUUCAGCCCACCAGAGCGGAGACAAUCUGGGCGUUGCUGCAUCCGGCGAAAUGGCUAUGGUCUCUCUCAGCCUUGUGGUGAUCUCCCUCAUGCCUGGUCUCUUCGUUGGGUCACUCUGGAUGCAUUCCAUGAUUAUCUGACAGAUCACAUCUAGCUCAUUUUCUUUGUGUGACUCUAGUACUGAAUCAAGCAUGGAGGCUAUACUCCGACCUUUGAUAAUGCACCCCAAAGCCUGUAAGAUAAGAAAAAUAAAAAACAGUUUUAUUUUCUUUAAUCUGAUGUUGAAUUGGAUUUCUUUUGUGUAAGUUAAACUGUUGAAGCAUUUGACUUUGCAGGCUGCUGUGAUUACCAGAUUCGCCAGGGAGCCCUCGUUUUCAGAGUAAGGGGGUUUCCCUGAGAUGAUUUCAAGAAGCAGUAUGCCAAAACUGUAAACGUUCCCUGCCAGUCUAGCAGAUAUUGGUUCAUGAUGAUCAUUAUUCGCUGUCGACUUUUUGCCGUCGGAAACCACUUCCUGCCAAACACUCAAGUCUGCAAUCUGAAGAAAGGAUACAGAUUUUAGCAUCAAACUGUACUUUACUGAGUACUGAAUAAAGUUGGGUACUGAAACUGCGUUUUUCUCUAAACCUCCUUCACAUCAGAAGGACAUUAAAAGAACUACUGAAACCAUAGCAACUGAAUAUGGCUAAGAUGCCUAAUUCUUGAUAAACCAUAAGGCAUAACAAGGAUUUAGUUAGACCAUAUGUACCUUUGCAGCACAAUCUUCAGAAAGAAAUACUGCACUUGAAUGCAGAUCAGGGUGCACGUUGGCAGGGUUGAGCUCAUGCAUGUGCUGAAUACAGUAAGCUAUUCCCAUGAUUAUUCUCAUUCUACUUCUCCAGUCGAUGUGAUCAAAGGCCUCAUCUGCACAAAUAAUUUACCAGCAUGUUAUCACUUGAAUGUGAAGAAAAAAAAUUGGUAUUCCUCAUUGCAACAAUGAGAAUAACUUUCACAUAGUAUUUACCAUGGAGAUUCUCAUAAAGCGUCCCAUUUGGUGCGUAUUCGAACACCAUCACCCUCGUGAAAGGUUCUUCCUCCUCACAAAACCCCAGCAGAUUGAUGAAAUUCUUAUGAUUUAUUCGUGAGAGCGACUCUAUCUGCUUGUUCACAAGGGAAAAAAAAGGUAAAUUUUUUCAUGCUAAUGCAAUUCUGCAAAAGGAUUAGUUGAGGAUCUAGUACACAUAUUAUGACUACCUUUUUCCUGAAACAAUCUUCACAGUGCUUUGACCAAUCUUUGCUGGAUUUAAUCGUUGUCGAUACAACGGCGAUCUCAACACCGGAUGAUAAGGUUCCCUUGUAGACAGUGUAGUAUGGAUGACUUGCCACAAUAUUACUGAAGUCCUCACAAGCACGCUCCAGUUCUGGACGCUGUAAUUGGGGCACUCCUGAAGCACAUUCAGAUCAGAACACAGUGAAAACCAGAAACACAACAUGAAUAUUUGAUCUGAAAACCAGACUUGAACACAGUCAAGAACUUACCGUUAUAAGAAUAGGAUGUAACAGAACAAUAUAAGAAAAUAUUACAAAUCAAAAUGGCAAAUAUUGCAGUAUUACCUGACACAAAUGCCUUCUGCAGCUGGCCACUGAGUCCAGUCCUCCAAGGGCCAAUAGUCGCAACGGAUUUCUUGCGGCAUGGCAAGAACAUCCAUGCCAUGCCAGCAAGCAUAAUCAAACCAGCCACUGGAAUCACAACUAUAUACAGCCACUUCUUGAAUCCUUUGCUUGAUCCUUUAUUUGCAGAAGCCUCGGCAGGGUGGGAUGAACUAUCUAGAGGCUUGUAAUUUGGAUCAUUUUGCAGUUGAUGAGAUGUUGGAAACGUCAUGUUUCCAACUGUUGGGAAAUGAUCUUUGUAGAGUAGAGCAGCGUGAUUUCUGUCAUGAAGUAGCCUCCGGUUGCUAAGCUGAACGGGUAGCUCGUCCAGUGAGGAGCAACCGAUCACGACAGCUUGGAGAAUCAGCACCACGAGCACGAAAGAACUCGAUGAAUCCAUCACUGGGAUAUUCGCGACCAACACCUGAUGAUUCAGUUGCUAGUGUCUUGAAUAAAUCAGAACACAGGGGCAGAAUCAUCAGCCAAAUUCACCUGAAACACAGGUGUUCAUAUCUUACUGUCAGAUGCCUUCUGCCAAGAUCAGGCAAAGAACAACCUCAGUUUCAGAAACAGAUAGGGAACUGAAGAUACUUCAUCACCUCGAAAGCAAUUGAAAGCGCAUACCUUUUGCUUGGCUGCUGUUCAGACUUCAGAAAUAAUUCUGCUCACACAGUGCAGAAACUGGAGCAUGCAAGGGUUCAGGCUUCAGACUAGACAGAGGCUAGAGGAAGCAACAGGAGCUCGAUUCUUGGUAGUAGUUGAAGAACCAGGAGCAAAUCUUCAGAUAAAGAAAAAAAAAAGGGGGAGAUUUUUCUGCAACGACUAAACUGGAUACAGGAGGAAUGGGUAAAACUCUUGGUUCACUGCAUUCCCUUGUAUUCUUCUCUCUUUGUCAAACAUCUCGGUUGUGUUGAUCAGUUAAUGCAGGGAUUAUUAAACAAGAAGGAAGAGGACGAAGACGGAGACUACUAACCCAUCGUUAUCUCCAUGGGCAACUCCACUUAGUACACGCUAAUCUCACGUUUGAAAAAUCGGCCACGUAAUCAUAGCCAAGAAGCAACCACUCUGCAAUCUGCAUGCUGGAUUGCUGGUUGCAGUUCUUUUUGCCAACGGCUGCACUGAUGGUCACGGGCAAUGACGCUACCCCUGAAUUUGUCCUCAUCAUAUGUAAUUGAGACCUUUUAUGACUCGCAUAAUUCUCCUUCCGUUUGUUUUAACAUAUGACAUCAUUAUCUUUUAGACAUACGUUAUAUCAUUUAUCUCAUUCAAUUUUCUUAAGUAUAUAAAAGUAUACGUCAUGUCUAAAGUAAAGUAAGUCGUAAUAAAACAAAAAUAAAUAAUGAUUAUUUUUUAAUAAUACGAAUAAUUAAAUACCAUAAUCAUAUGUUUACGUAUGGCUCAUGUAACGCUCUCUCAAAUACACGACCUUGUUAACUUGUAGACAUACGUUCAAUUGCUCACGCUAUUCAAAACUUUAAAAUAUGUAGAAUAUAAAUCAUGCUCAAAUUGUUUUCAAUGAUAAAAGUAAGUCAUCAUAUGUUAAAAAACAGAGCGAGUACAUUGCCAUUGCAAUGCUACUUCGUCGGAUAGAGACUCUUGGAAUUUUCCAAAAAAAACCAAGGAAAUGACUGGGCUGCUACCUCCCUGGGAGGCUGGGACGAAGAACUCAGGCCCCGCUGCACUGGAUAAAUACUCCAUUCGUCCUCGUAAAGAAAGUCGUUUUGGACAGCGACACGGUCUCCAAAACACAACUUUGAUUUCAUGUUUCUAUAAAAAUAUUUAUUAAAAAGUGAUAUAUGUAUACUUUUAUGAAAGUAUUUUUCAAGACAAAUUUAUUCAUAUAUUUUUUAUAUUUUUAAACUUAAUAAUUUGAUAGUUAUUUAUGAUUUAUAUUCCUAAUGUUUAAUUUAAAUAUUGUCCUAAACAAUUAUGGAGGGAGUACUCAUCGUUGUCCUCGAGACAGACACUAAGAUUAAUUAGUGCUACGUGUUCCAUUCAAAAAAAUAAUGCUGCGUGUUCCAUUCAAAAAAUUAGUGCUAUGAGGCAAUCGAAAUUACGCAGCAAUUGACAGGGACAAAGCAAAUUAAGCAGAUGCAUCCAUAUUGUUGACUUCUAAAUUCUAAUAAGUUGUACCACUAGUACAGGGUUUUUUCCUGAUAAUUUAGCUGAUGGGGAGCCUAACCUAACCUACCCCAUGGACCAACUGUUUAGACUUUCAGAAGUCUGAAUUGGAAUCAGAAGAUCGAAGAAGUUAGUACCAUAAUCAAAUAGGCCACUAUCAUAGCCUAAUCAAUGCUAUUACCGUGCACCGAUCACCGAAGAUUUGCUAAGAACUAGUGGUAGCAAACUGGUUGGUCAUCACUCUGACUCUCCCGUUGAUGUACACAAGCCAUGUGUAGGUGAUCAACAGCAGCGCAAUAUCCAGCAUUUUUUUUCUGAAGCAGUGGCACUAGCACAAGAUACUGUGCUACUAGUAGUACUUCCUCCGUCCCAGUAAAAUUGACGUUUUAAGGUUAGUAGCUAAGAUUAGCUGUUGUGCAAAAUUACCAAAUUGUAUCCAUGAUUUGAUUCAGCUGUCAUUUCCAGCAUUUAUACAUGCACUCCGAAUAUUCUAGAGGAUAUUUCCAGCAGUAAUGAAGUAACCACAACUCACUACCACGUGUUACGGGGAGUACAUAAAUUGGCGCCUUGGCCACACGUUUGAUAAAGGGGCAAAGCCAUCAUUAAUAUAUUCAAAAAUUUGAAUCAACAAUUAAACUUGCUUUGGCGUCCAGGAGUGCCUCUUCUCUGUAUAGCGACACAUUUUUUGAGACAAGCCUGGGGCGUUGAAACGUCAAUUUUACUGGGACGGAGGAAGUAGAAAGUAACACCAAAUUAACGGGACAGAGAUCCUCUGCAGUAUUACAGAUAAUCUCCACUGAGUCAGUGGACACGUUCCAGCAACAUCACAAAUGUAUUCAGAGGCAAAUCUGAUUCUUCCAGAAGCGGAAUCAAACGGAGGAGCCCAAGGAAAAUAAGGUGGGCGAAUCAAAUGGUGUCAGGGGCCAGCAGCUGGCCGCCAGCUGCACGGAGCGAAGAUGUAAGUGGAGUAUGAGGUUGACCCCUCUCUCUUUCACUGCACAAUUCCAUCGUGUUGCCAUCCAGCCUCCUAGCACAGUGGAUCUUGAAAAGAGCUCAAACCAUGUUUCAUACCCAGAUUUAUAGUAAUAGGAAUUGUCAUAUUCUAUAUAGAUUCUUAUAUUCUAUAACGAAAGUAGUAGAAAAUUUAGCUAAUAAAAUUCAAAUGAAAUCCAUACAUUUAAGGCUAUGUUCUUUUCCGCUAUUGUAGCUUAGUUACUCCUUAUUUUUCGUUGGCACAUUUUUCAAACGGUUAAACGGUGAGAAAACUUUUAUAUAUAAGUUAUUUAGAAAAUUUAUCAAACUUUUAUAUAUUAAUACUUAAUUGAUUAUAUAUUGUUUUACGUGCGGUUAAUUAGCCGUUUCAAACAUCUAAAACGGACUUGUACAUUUCACAUACUACUACUAGUAAAUUUUGAAUUUCUUGAAAACUCUCAUCGGGAGCAUCCGAGGUGGUCACUACAAGAUAUUUAACUUUUGCUACUCUUAUACAUAUACUCCCCCGUUUCACAGUGUAACACUUUCUAGCAUUGUCCACAUUCAUAUAGAUGCUAAUGAAUCUAGACAUUAUUAUAUAUAUAUAUUCAUUAAUAUCUAUAUAAAUAUGGACAAUGCUAGAAAGUCUUACAUUGUGAAACGGAUGAAAUAAUAAUUAAGAAUUUACAACUAGACCCAUGGACACAUAAGGACACACAUUAUAGACUUUGAGUAGCAAAUUUUUAAUUACCAUAUCUUAAAAGUAAAAAAAAAUUAAUCAGCAACUUUUAACUUUUUUUAAUUUUUAAUUACCAUAUCUUUAGCAACGUCCAUUCCUCGAAUCCAACGGCCGUCGACAUGUCUCGGUCCGGGCCAACGAGCAAAAACACAAACCAGAGAGUGCGCCCGUACCAGUCCAGGAUUUCUAGAAGCGCAAGACGAAACCGUCAAAAUUGCGCUACAAAAACCGCGCGUACCGCAGCCCGCAGCCAAGCCAAACACCACUCGCAGAUCCGCUUCGCUUCUCCGAGACAAGCGGAGGAGGAGU